rnacentral:tRNA from 2 species
GCCGUCGUAGUUCAACGGUAGAAUACCUGCCUUGUAACUUGGUUACGCAGAGCGUAUAAGACCUGUCGAGUAAGCAGAUCAUCGGAGUUCAAUUCUCCGCGACGGCUCCA